AUUGAACGCUGGCGGAAUGCUUUAUACAUGCAAGUCGAACGGCAGCACGGGGGUACUUCCGGUGGCGGGCGGCAACCGGGUGCGUAUUAGUACGAAACGUGCACGCUAGCGGUGGAUAAGGUAUAGCAUGUUAAGCUAAUACCUAAUACGGUCUAAGAUUGAACGUGGCGGACCUCCGGACUUCGCGCGAUUGCUGCGGUCGCUGUCAGAUUAGGUAGUUGGUGGGGUAAAGGCUUACCAAGCCGACGAUCUGUAGCUGGUCUGAGAGGACGACCAGCCACACUGGGACUGAGACACGGCCCAGACUCCUACGGGAGGCAGCAGUAGGGAAUUUUGGACAAUGGGCGCAAGCCUGAUCCAGCCAUUCCGCGUGCAUGACGAAGGCCUUCGGGUUGUAAACUGCUGUUGUAUGGAACGAAAAGGCUCUGGCUAAUACCUGCGGCUCAUGACGGUACCGUAAGAAUAAGCACCGGCUAACUACGUG
rnacentral:rRNA from 1 species